rnacentral:lncRNA from 1 species
GGACAGCAUUAUUGCCUUAUAAAAAAAAGGACAACAUUAUUUAUUGUGGGAUCAGUCACCCACAAUAUAAGGGGGAGAGAGACUGCAUAGGCUGAGCAUGCGUAUCCUUCCUGUUGAGCUUGCAACCCAUGACAAGUUUUGGAUCUUCUCUGGCUUAUGAUUCAUAUUUGAAUCAAAGAAAAUCAGUUGAGAUCAUCAAUUAUUUGUUACUCCAUAGUUUGUGAUUGAACCGGCCUGCAUGGACUGAGUACAUUAUAAUUAAGGAUGAUGGUGGCAAAGAAUUGAUCAAGUUUACUCAUUAUGUAGGUUGCAGUGCCGGGAC